CAGCGCCGCGGUAAUACCAGCCCCGCGAGUGGUCGGGACGGUUAUUGGGCCUAAAGCGCCCGUAGCCGGCCCGGCAAGUCCCUCCUUAAAGCCUCGGGCCCAACCCGAGGACGGGGGGGAUACUGCCGGGCUAGGGGGCGGGAGAGGCCGGCGGUACUCCCGGGGUAGGGGCGAAAUCCGUUAAUCCCGGGAGGACCACCAGUGGCGAAGGCGGCCGGCUGGAACGCGCCCGACGGUGAGGGGCGAAAGCCGGGGGAGCGAACCGGAUUAGAUGCCCGGGUAGUCCCGGCUGUAAACGAUGCGGGCUAGCUGUUGGGCGGGCUUAGAGCCCGCCCAGUGGCGCAGGGAAGCCGUUAAGUCCGCCGCCUGGGGAGUACGGCCGCAAGGCUGAAACUUAAAGGAAUUGGCGGG
rnacentral:rRNA from 1 species